AUGCUACAGGCUUAACACAUGCAAGUCGAGGGGCAGCAUUUCAGUUUGCUUGCAAACUGGAGAUGGCGACCGGCGCACGGGUGAGUAACACGUAUCCAACCUGCCGAUAACUCGGGGAUAGCCUUUCGAAAGAAAGAUUAAUACCCGAUGGUAUAAUCAGACCGCAUGGUCUUGUUAUUAAAGAAUUUCGGUUAUCGAUGGGGAUGCGUUCCAUUAGGCAGUUGGUGAGGUAACGGCUCACCAAACCUUCGAUGGAUAGGGGUUCUGAGAGGAAGGUCCCCCACAUUGGAACUGAGACACGGUCCAAACUCCUACGGGAGGCAGCAGUGAGGAAUAUUGGUCAAUGGGCGCAGGCCUGAACCAGCCAAGUAGCGUGAAGGAUGACUGCCCUAUGGGUUGUAAACUUCUUUUAUAUGGGAAUAAAGUUUUCCACGUGUGGAAUUUUGUAUGUACCAUAUGAAUAAGGAUCGGCUAACUCCGUGCCAGCAGCCGCGGUAAUACGGAGGAUCCGAGCGUUAUCCGGAUUUAUUGGGUUUAAAGGGAGCGUAGGUGGACAGUUAAGUCAGUUGUGAAAGUUUGCGGCUCAACCGUAAAAUUGCAGUUGAUACUGGCUGUCUUGAGUACAGUAGAGGUGGGCGGAAUUCGUGGUGUAGCGGUGAAAUGCUUAGAUAUCACGAAGAACUCCGAUUGCGAAGGCAGCUCACUGGACUGCAACUGACACUGAUGCUCGAAAGUGUGGGUAUCAAACAGGAUUAGAUACCCUGGUAGUCCACACAGUAAACGAUGAAUACUCGCUGUUUGCGAUAUACAGUAAGCGGCCAAGCGAAAGCAUUAAGUAUUCCACCUGGGGAGUACGCCGGCAACGGUGAAACUCAAAGGAAUUGACGGGGGCCCGCACAAGCGGAGGAACAUGUGGUUUAAUUCGAUGAUACGCGAGGAACCUUACCCGGGCUUAAAUUGCAUUUGAAUAUAUUGGAAACAGUAUAGCCGUAAGGCAAAUGUGAAGGUGCUGCAUGGUUGUCGUCAGCUCGUGCCGUGAGGUGUCGGCUUAAGUGCCAUAACGAGCGCAACCCUUAUCUUUAGUUACUAACAGGUCAUGCUGAGGACUCUAGAGAGACUGCCGUCGUAAGAUGUGAGGAAGGUGGGGAUGACGUCAAAUCAGCACGGCCCUUACGUCCGGGGCUACACACGUGUUACAAUGGGGGGUACAGAAGGCAGCUACCUGGUGACAGGAUGCUAAUCCCAAAAGCCUCUCUCAGUUCGGAUCGAAGUCUGCAACCCGACUUCGUGAAGCUGGAUUCGCUAGUAAUCGCGCAUCAGCCAUGGCGCGGUGAAUACGUUCCCGGGCCUUGUACACACCGCCCGUCAAGCCAUGAAAGCCGGGGGUACCUGAAGUACGUAACCGCAAGGAGCGUCCUAGGGUAAAACUGGUAAUUGGGGCUAA
rnacentral:rRNA from 1 species